CCAGAGAGCAGACACAUUGGCUGCAGACGUUUGAAAUUCAGAUCAUCUGUUCUCUGGCAUCAGAGGGCAAGAGGGGCAUGGACGGCAUCCUUGGUGGUUCCAAUUUCCAGCCCAUUCCCCAAUUUUCAACCCCAAUGACAGACAACACACGCUUCAAUGGCUGUUCAACUAAAGGAGGGAAUUGGAGUGGACCUUUUAACAAUGGACUGCUGGUUUCCUGUGUUCUUAAUGCCAGCUGGCAGAGUACAGUUAACACACACUUCAUAAUGUAUUGAUACAUACAUAUUAUCACAUUUACAUUGUUUUAGAAUUUGGUGUAAAGAAGGAAAAUAAAACAUUCU